GCAUUGAGCAAUUUAUUUCUGAACAAGUCUUUAAAGCUGCAAGACAUGGAUUGCUGAUACUACUACCCUACAUCUGCUACAGCUGAUACUAACUACCAUGCAUAUGCGACUCUGCUACAGUUGCUACUACUGCUCUGCAUCUGUACUUCUGCUACAGUUGCUACUACUGCCCUAUAGCUGAUGCUCUGCUACAACUACUACUACUCUGCCUUGCAGCUCUAUUUAUGCAACAAUUGCAACUACUACUGUCCUAUAGUUUCGGCUACUACUAUUGCUGUUGCUGAUGUUUGAGGAAAAACAUUUUUGAGAACUUUGUAUCAAGCUGGACAAUAUAGAUGUUCCAACUUGAGGGGGAGUGUUAAGAAUAUUAGUAUUCUGUCCCACAUCACUGAUGUGACAUAGCCUAGCUUAGUCUCUUGUACUAUAUAUAUGUGGCCUGUGUUGGGUAAUAAAAUACACCAAACACCUACUACUCUUCUCUA